rnacentral:piRNA from 2 species
UCAUAGAUCUUCUCUCUGACAGGC